UAUGGCCACAUCACCUUGAAGCACAGGUUCUCAUCUGAACACUGAAAUUAAGCAACAUUAAGCCUAGUCAGUAUCUAGAUGUGUGAUCACUUGGGAAUAUGAGGAACUGUAAG